CUUCCAUCCAAAAACCCACCCCACCCCACCCCCACCUCCCCCACAACCUAAAAACCCACCCAUCUUUCAUCAUCUUUUGAAACGCCCCCACCGAGGAUAGAUUGGCAAUACCCAACACAGACUCCGACCCACCCUUGACCUGAUCUGACCCAGCCCAUAGAGAUCGCCCUGGCCCCACCAUCAUCCGCUGACGGGAUGUCCCAACUGACACUGUCAAGACGUCGUCAUCUCAAGAGAACGAAGCGAACGCCACCGCAGCGACGGUCAAGUACAACGAUGAGGAAGAGGAGGAGGACAUGUGCCAGAUUUGUAAAAACAUGGGCGACGCUGAUAACCCGCUGCGGUACCUGUGCGCUUGUAGCGGAAGCAUCAAGUUUGUACACCAGGAUUGCCUCCUAUAGUGGCUUAAUCAUAACAAUGCUCGCCAAUGCAAGCCACGUCAGCUCUUAACCGAUCAAUGGAUGGAAAAUGUAACGGAUGUAUUAUAUUGAAAUAAAAUAGUGCUUGAAGUAUGAAAGUGAAAUGUUUUGAAGAUGUUGUAUGAUGUUGAAAUGGACCCCAAACCUGCGGUGGUAAAGUGUAA